CAGUCGAGCGAGCGGAACCACAGAUUUACUUCGGUAAUGACGUCGGGAAAGCGAGCGGCGGAUGGGUGAGUAACACGUGGGGAACCUGCCCCUAAGUCUGGGAUACCAUUUGGAAACAGGUGCUAAUACCGGAUAAUAAAGCGGAUCGCAUGAUCAGCUUUUGAAAGGCGGCGUAAGCUGUCGCUAAGGGAUGGCCCCGCGGUGCAUUAGCUAGUUGGUAAGGUAACGGCUUACCAAGGCGACGAUGCAUAGCCGAGUUGAGAGACUGAUCGGCCACAUUGGGACUGAGACACGGCCCAAACUCCUAUGGGAGGCAGCAGUAGGGAAUCUUCCACAAUGGACGCAAGUCUGAUGGAGCAACGCCGCGUGAGUGAAGAAGGUUUUCGGAUCGUAAAGCUCUGUUGUUGGUGAAGAAGGAUAGAGGUAGUAACUGGCCUUUAUUUGACGGUAAUCAACCAGAAAGUCACGGCUAACUACGUGCCAGCAGCCGCGGUAAUACGUAGGUGGCAAGCGUUGUCCGGAUUUAUUGGGCGUAAAGCGAGCGCAGGCGGAAAAAUAAGUCUAAUGUGAAAGCCCUCGGCUUAACCGAGGAACUGCAUCGGAAACUGUUUUUCUUGAGUGCAGAAGAGGAGAGUGGAACUCCAUGUGUAGCGGUGGAAUGCGUAGAUAUAUGGAAGAACACCAGUGGCGAAGGCGGCUCUCUGGUCUGCAACUGACGCUGAGGCUCGAAAGCAUGGGUAGCGAACAGGAUUAGAUACCCUGGUAGU
rnacentral:rRNA from 1 species